rnacentral:rRNA from 1 species
UUAGGUUCGGUCAGCUCGCUCCAACCCCUGUGACAUACCUUAAUGUUGCCUCGGCGGAUCAGCCCGCGCCCCGUAAAACGGGACGGCCCGCCAGAGGACCCAAACUCUAAUGUUUCUUAUUGUAACUUCUGAGUAAAACAAACAAAUAAAUCAAAACUUUCAACAACGGAUCUCUUGGUUCUGGCAUCGAUGAAGAACGCAGCAAAAUGCGAUAAGUAAUGUGAAUUGCAGAAUUCAGUGAAUCAUCGAAUCUUUGAACGCACAUUGCGCCCGCUGGUAUUCCGGCGGGCAUGCCUGUUCGAGCGUCAUUUCAACCCUCAAGCCCCCGGGUUUGGUGUUGGGGAUCGGCUCUGCCUUCUGGCGGUGCCGCCCCCGAAAUACAUUGGCGGUCUCGCUGCAGCCUCCAUUGCGUAGUAGCUAACACCUCGCAACUGGAACGCGGCGCGGCCAUGCCGUAAAACCCCAACUUCUGAAUGUUGACCUCGGAUCAGGUAGGAAUACCCGCUGAACUUAAGCAUAUCAAUAAGCGGAGGAA